GGAAAUCUCACCAGGCCCGGACACUGGAAGGAUUGACAGAUUGAGAGCUCUUUCUCGAUUCGGUGGGUGGUGGUGCAUGGCCGUUCUUAGUUGGUGGAGUGAUUUGUCUGGUUAAUUCCGAUAACGAACGAGACUCUGUCCUGCUAAAUAGUGUCAGCCUCUCUUUUGGGCUGACAAUUCUUCUUAGAGGGACUGGCGGCACCUAGCCGCACGAAAUAGAGCAAUAA
rnacentral:rRNA from 1 species